UACGUAGGGUGCGAGCGUUAAUCGGAAUUACUGGGCGUAAAGCGUGCGCAGGCGGGCUUUUAAGCCAGACGUGAAAUCCCCGGGCUUAACCUGGGAAUGGCGUUUGGGACUGGAAGUCUGGAGUGCGGCAGAGGAGACUGGAAUUCCUGGUGUAGCAGUGAAAUGCGUAGAUAUCAGGAGGAACACCGAUGGCGAAGGCAGGUCUCUGGGCUGACACUGACGCUCAUGCACGAAAGCGUGGGGAGCAAAAGGG
rnacentral:rRNA from 1 species